rnacentral:rRNA from 1 species
GAUGAACGCUGGCGGCGUGCCUAAUACAUGCAAGUCGAGCGAACGGACGAGAAGCUUGCUUCUCUGAUGUUAGCGGCGGACGGGUGAGUAACACGUGGAUAACCUACCUAUAAGACUGGGAUAACUUCGGGAAACCGGAGCUAAUACCGGAUAAUAUUUUGAACCGCAUGGUUCAAAAGUGAAAGACGGUCUUGCUGUCACUUAUAGAUGGAUCCGCGCUGCAUUAGCUAGUUGGUAAGGUAACGGCUUACCAAGGCAACGAUGCAUAGCCGACCUGAGAGCGUCAUCGCCUACACUGGAACUGAGACACGGUCCAGACUCCUACGGGAGGAAGCAGUAGGGACUCUUCCGCAAUGGGCGAAAGCCUGACGGAGCAACGCCGCGUGAGUGAUGAAGGUCUUCGGAUCGUAAAACUCUGUUAUUAGGGAAGAACAUAUGUGUAAGUAACUGUGCACAUCUUGACGGUACCUAAUCAGAAAGCCCCGGCUAACUACGUG